rnacentral:rRNA from 1 species
UUGUUGCAGUUAAAAAGCUCGUAGUUGGAUUUCUGGGAGCGUGCCAAUGUCCGCCUUGUGCGAGCGCAGCGGCGCGCUUCCAUCCUUCUGUUAACGCCUCUUGGCAUUCACUUGCUGGUGGCGGGCUCAGAUAUAUUUACCAUUGAGAAAAUUAGAUGUGUUUCAGGCAGGCUAGGCCGAGAAUACAUUAGCAUGGAAUAAUGGAAUAGGACUACGGUCUCUUUGUUGGUUUGAGGGACUGCAGUAAUGAUUAAUAGGGAUAGUUGGGGGCAUUAGUAUUUAAUUGUCAGAGGUGGAAUUCUCAGAUUUGUUAAAGACUAACUUAUGCGAAAGCAUUUGCCAAGGAUGUUUUCAUUAAUCAAGAACGAAAGUUAGGGGAUC